GUGGUCACUUUGGCACACAUAUACUAAGAUUAGAACAUUACAGAGAAGAUUGGCAUGUCACCUGCUCAAUGAUGGCAUGAAAAUUCAUAAAGACUUUCUUAUUUUU
ensembl:snRNA U6 U6 spliceosomal RNA